CGACAAGAUGCAACCUUCAAUUAUUAGCAAAGAAAAACACAGCAAGUCUGGUCAUAUAAGACGGCGUCGUUUGAGAAACCUAAACCAAUCAACACAAGAGAAAACCAAGUUCUCUGUCUUUCAGUUAAUGUAACGGUCUUUUUUUUUUUUGAAUUCUCCGUAAUAAAUCCAGCACCUCUCUCUCUCUCUCUCUCUCUCUCUAAAUCUCAACAUUUUUCAAUCUCGAAAGAUCUCUCUCUCUCUCUCUCUCCCAGUAAGUAGAAGCAAUAAUACAUUUUUAGCCGUUCAAAUUCUAUGUAAGAAGGUUUGAUUCUUCUUGUAAUCAUAUGGAAUUUCAAUUUCGAUCAAAGAGAGAAUCUUCAUGCAUUCAAGUUCUCUGUAGUACCCAUCUCUUCCUCUCUCGCUAUAAAUAUGGAUUGGAGGAUUUUCAGAGUUAAAGUUUGGAUCUUUUAGAUUUCACGCUCUAUCCAUGGCAGGCAAAUGAAUUCCCCAUUAACGUUUCCCUUGUGCUCUUGAUGCACGUUAAAAGACGUAAGCAGAUCAAUAAAUACGGUCAUUUGAACCAGAAGAGAGAGAUCAAAUUUCAAACUUGAUGGAAGUGGUAAGAUCACUUUGUUUCAUGAUAGGUUUUCUUUGCUGUAAUGUUUGUGUUUGACUUUUGAAGCGUAGAUGCAAAAUUGAGCUGCUGUUUUUAUUAAUUGCAAAUCAUGAUUCCUCAGAAUAUUUUACAAUUAAUUGCAAAAUCUUCAAAGUCUUAUUCAUGCAUGUUGGUUUUCCUGUCGUAGAGGAUACAAUUUUCAAAAAAUAACCAAUUGUUCUCCUAAUUUAGCAAGAAGAAUCGGAUUUUUAAUAAAGAAGAUGAUUUUUCUCUUUUGGAUUCACUGAAUGCUGUUGUAACUAGCCCAUACUAGUAAAACUAUCACUCAUAGCCGUUGUUCUUGAACCAACAUUGUUGUAUUGUUGUUGGUGUGGCUAUAGAGAAAUAUGUUUAUUGGCAUUUGUCUCUUCCUUUGAAUUGUGAAUUUCUGCUAUGGGAAUAAAGGGAAUGGGAGCUGAUGGAGCAACAAUUCAUUGUGUUGUUUUGUCUAUCCAAACAUAAAAGGUACUAAAAUAAAUUGUAUUGUUUUAGUAAAAUGAUUUCAUAAAUCACUUCUGUAACACCAUUCCUUGCUUUAAAGUUGAUUGCUACUUUGGCGUAGGCCAGGGUUUUGGGGGUCAGUUUCUUUUCCCUUUGCUCUUCGAUUUCACUUUAAAGUCUUACUUCUGAUUUUAUUUGAAGAAAACCCAGCUAAGCUAAAAAUAUCAUGCUGCUUCUUUGAAUUGUGGGAUUCUUAUUUGAUUGGAAUAGGCAGGUGGUUUGGGAGUGAUUUCUGCCUUGUCUUAUUUUCUUAAAGAGUUGUCCUUAAUUUUUCAUAACUAAACACUGCUAUUUAUCCAAAAUCAAUUUUGAAUCUUCUGCCCAUCUUCUUUUUCAUGUGUUUUUUGGGGUUCUUUUCAUGUAUUUUAUUUAUUUAUAUAUGAAUAAAUACUUUGCUUGAUAGUAAAAUUGUUGAGAAAUUCGUAGAACCUAAGGAAUGAAGAAUCUAACAAUCAUCAACUUGCCAUUCUCAUAAGGCCAGGGAUAUGGUAAAUUGAUUUGCUGAUGUGAUGUGAUAUGAUAUUUCUCUUUUCGACUUAUAUUUAGAAUUGAGUUUCUACAUAUACAUGAUUUUUUUAGGUGAUUUAAUAUAUUAGUGAACUUGUCAGAUCUCUAAUAGAUGAUAAGAGAGAGCGCUUCAUUGAUGGUAUGUUUCUGUUGAGAAUGCUGUCAUUUCCUUACUCUUUGCAUGCAUGUCAUCUAGCACAACUACAAACUAUCAUCCUAAAACUAAUGUGAUUAUUUCUGAAAGGUUGACUGCUUACUGUGUUGAAGUCCUCUACAAAGCUGUUGAGAUCAAAGUUUACCUCUUCUUUUCCUUGUUAAUGUAGGGUGUGCUGGGACUUGUAUGUUUAGAUCAAACUUUAUAGCAUUUGAUUAAUCACAAGGGCUGAAAGUAUUGCUCAUCUAAUUAAUCAAUUGUGUGAGGUGUGUGUCAUCUGUUCAUCCUGUUUAAUAGUCUUUCUAUUGCAUGUGAAAAUAUGUAUUGAAAAGGUCUAUGCCAUAUAUGAUUUAUAUAAAAGCCUUAUGAUUAAGUUUUGACGGAUAAAAUUCAUUCAACUUUAUUGCAUUUUUCUCUCUACAUUUUUUCAGACUUCUUGAAGAUGAAAGGUCACAUGGAUAAUAUGCUUCUGAUAUUGUUAUUUAUAGAUACAUUGUUGGUGUGGCUGUAGGGAGUUAUGUUUGUUGGCAUUUGUCUCUUCCUUUGAUUUUUUGAAUUCUUGCUCUGGAAUCAAGGGGAUGAGAGCUGAUGGAGCAACUCUUCAGUGUGUUAUUUUGUGUAAGCAAACAUAAAAAUUGUUACUAACAUAAAUAGCAUUUUUUACUAAAUUGAUUUCGUAAAUCACUUUUUUGUUCUGUUACACCAUUCCAUGCUUAAGCACUUCAGUUAAUAAGAUUUGCUUGCUGAGAGUUUUGUCUUUUCUUAUAUUGAAUAGUAGGACUGUAGAAACAGAAAAGGGCUAAACUAUUAUCUAACUGUUGCAUUAGAUUUUGAAGUUCACGGACUCUAUGUUCUCUCUGUUUUUCUUGUCCCGUCUUUUCUUUGAUGUACUGGUCGUCCCUCUCUCUGUUUCUAGAUUUUGAAGCUCUCCCUCUCUUGAUUCUUUAUUAGAAUGCUAGCAUUCUAACUGUUAUGUACUCUGGUUUGUUGGAGGUUGCGGACCUUGAGAAACUAGAUCCUUGUACAAUGAUGAAUCCUCCCACUGUACACAUGGUAUUCUUGUUUGUUAUUUAUAUAUCUUGCAUUCUUGCUUAGCUGAAUUCCAUGUUCAACAAUUGCAUUUGCUAUUUUGCUUAUUAGAUGCUAUUUCAGUACCUCAUGUAUGUAGAUGUUUGCAUAUAUGCUUGAAAGAGAGGAAAACUAGCAGUGCUUUUCAUACAGUAUAGUGCUGGUUUCAAGUGAUUCCAUGUAUGUAAUCUUGCUGUCUAAUAUCUUCUUUUUGCACCACUAAAGGCAUAUUUUUCCUCUGUUUUAAUCCUUGAAAGUUAUUAUUGUAUAUAAGGGGUUACAAACUUUUGUCCUUGCAACUAGCAUCUGCCCUUCUUAUUACAAGCUUGGGGACUAAUCCUACCAGUGGCAAUUUCUCGAGGCCAAAUCCUUAGUAACUAAUAUUGUGGACAUGGUUGAUGGUACUUUAGUAACUAAUAUCUCUUGAUAUUCUUUCUAGCUCUAGCAAAUUUCUCAAAAGAGGACAUUAAUGUUUCAUGUUACCAUCUUCUAAGACACGAUCAUCUUUUGAGUUUGAUUCCCUUGAGACCCUGGCUUUCCACUUCUCACAUAUUUCCUGUUCAUCUUUUGAGCAGUAAAUUUAAAUUCUUUGAAGUUCAUGUACGUGAAGAAUGCUUGGCAUCUUUUUACUAGUGCAUUCAUGGAAGGUUGAUAAGUGUCUUGAUGUAUGUAUCUACAGAGAUCAACAACAUUUGAGAUAUUAUUUGGCGGUCAUGAUUUGAUUACUCCAAACUACAUAUUAUAUUAUUGAAAAGAUCACUUGUGAUAUAAUUUGAGAUGAAAAUUGGUUUUAUGAA